GAGCUGAACCAGACGGUGACACAGGCCAAGGCUUCCUGUGUGUGCUGGUGUAAGGUUGAUACUUGCCAGGAGGCGCCCAGUGAGUCCAGAAGGCGGUUAUAAGGAUAGGAAGAGUUAUUAUCUUGAAACAGGCAACCCACGUCAGCAGAUCGGCGCCGAGGAGCAGCGUGGUAAAGAGCAGGCUAGUGGUGAAGGCGUGGCAGCAAGGUGCAGCCUGUGGCAGGAAUGGCUCCCCACGACAUGAAGGAGUGUGUGAGGCUGAACCAUCAUUAAGAUCGCAGCUGGCCUCACACCGCCCCUCUGCGUGCUGUAGGAGACUGAGGGAUGAGGAGCGUGGAGAUGACACGUUUGGUAAUCGGAUCAUUGGUCGUGGCUGAAUGGCUGAAUGAGAACUAACUGGCACUGCUUGUAUGCCACUUAGGUACAUACGCAUCUGGAGUGGCAAGUUGUGGGAUUCAGGAAUGGGGGAAGGGUCGUCAACCUUCUAUUCACCACGAUCAUCACCACAGUCCCCUGACACCAAGGAGCUGCCACUACGCUAUCUGGGCUGAGGUGAGAGGCGACUGUUGUGAUAAUUUUUAUUGCUUUCGUUAUGGAAAAGCUGUAACUGCACCAACGCUGUCUUGAUUUCCUAAUGCAGUGAAUCAAAUCAAAAUACGAGAUCUGUACAACGUGAUUAUUAUGAACCUCCUGCCUAAUCUUGCGUCCUAUCGGUAACGGAGUCUCCUCAUUCGAUCCCCAGGAGGAAGAACAGUAAACUAGCAUAUAACGUAACGUGACCUAAUGCGAAUAGGGAUCUACUACUGCUAUUACCAUCAUCAUCGUUACCAUAUCAUCAUAAUCAUCAUUAUUAAGCACAUCCAUCGCCCCAGUUAAGACCCUUCCCGAUCCUGCACCAACACUGAGUCUGUCCCAAGCUUAAUACUCUGAUGGGGCUAAUCCUGAAGAAAUUAACUUUAAUCGAUAAGUUUUUCAACAUGAUAAUUCCAGCUUGACACACAUAUCAGCUGAUAACCACAGGACUGAAGGUUGAACGUAAUCAAGUAGGUAUGAGAGCAUGAGUGAUUCAAGGCGUUUACUGGUGUUCGUGAAAGCAGAGGUAUUAGUGUGCUGGCCUUGGUGCGUGACGUGUGUUCUACGCUGGGGGAAGAAAAAAAAAGGUUCUCGAAGUAUCCUUGACCAUAAUGUAGAAAUACGCACUUGCCCUCUCUUUGUCUUACAUGAAUUGAGAGACGAGUAGAGUGACAUGAAGCAGAGUAACACGUAGAGAGAGGGAAGGUUAAUGAAGCUGUGACAGAAAGAGGAAAAUAAAUAUGAAAGACGAGAAAAAAAAAUUAGAAAAAAUGGUCUGACAUAAAAUUUGGACCUUGCUCUCCUUUUGUCCUUUUAUUUUUCUCUCUCCUCAUUUCCACCAUCCUUACUGCCUGCCCUUCCCUUCCUUUUUUUCCUUCCUUCAUCCCCUCCUCCAUCACUCUCAUCCUCUCUUUCCUCCCUCCUACCUUCCUUCCUUCCUUCCUCCCUCCCUCCCUCCCUCCCUUCCUUCCUCCCUCCUCCAUCACUUUCCAUGGAAACUGACACUCAUGAAAACUGGCAUCUCG